rnacentral:rRNA from 1 species
GUUUGAUCCUGGCUCAGAUUGAACGCUGGCGGUAUGCCUAACACAUGCAAGUCGAACGGUAACAGAGAGAAGCUUGCUUCUUUGCUGACGAGUGGCGGACGGGUGAGUAACGCGUGGGAAUCUACCCAGUAGUUGGGGAUAGCCCGGAGAAAUCCGGAUUAAUACCGAAUAAUGUCUACGGACGAAAAGGUGCCUCUUCUUGAAAGCACUUGCUAUUGGAUGAGCCCGCGUUAGAUUAGUUUGUUGGUGGGGUAACGGCCUACCAAGACUGCGAUCUAUAGCUGGUUUGAGAGGAUGAUCAGCCACAUUGGGACUGAGACACGGCCCAGACUCCUACGGGAGGCAGCAGUGGGGAAUAUUGGACAAUGGGCGCAAGCCUGAUCCAGCAAUACCGCGUGUGUGAAGAAGGCCUUAGGGUUGUAAAGCACUUUUAUGUAGGAAGAACGGUUGUGAGUUAAUAGCUCAUGACUUUGACGGUACUACAAGAAUAAGCACCGCUAACU